UGAACGCUGGCGGCGUGCUUACCACAUGCACGUCGACCGGAAAGGCCCAAGCUUGCUUGGGUACUCGAGUGGCGAACGGGUGAGUAACACGUGGGUGAUCUGCCCUGCACUUCGGGAUAAGCCUGGGAAACUGGGUCUAAUACCGGAUAGGACGAUGGUUUGGAUGCCAUUGUGGAAAGUUUUUUCGGUGUGGGAUGAGCUCGCGGCCUAUCAGCUUGUUGGUGGGGUAAUGGCCUACCAAGGCGUCGACGGGUAGCCGGCCUGAGAGGGUGUACGGCCACAUUGGGACUGAGAUACGGCCCAGACUCCUACGGGAGGCAGCAGUGGGGAAUAUUGCACAAUGGGCGCAAGCCUGAUGCAGCGACGCCGCGUGGGGGAUGACGGCCUUCGGGUUGUAAACUCCUUUCGCUAGGGACGAAGCGUUUUUGUGACGGUACCUGGAGAAGAAGCACCGGCUAACUACGUG
rnacentral:rRNA from 1 species